rnacentral:rRNA from 1 species
UACGAGGGGUGCAAGCGUUGCUCGGAAUUAUUGGGCGUAAAGGGUAGGUAGGUGGUCUCAUUUGUCUGGGGUGAAAGCCUUGAGCUUAACUCAAGAAGUGCCCUAGAAACGGUGAGACUGGAGUCCUGGAGAGGGUCGUGGAAUUCCCGGUGUAGCGGUGAAAUGCGUAGAGAUCGGGAGGAACACCAGCGGCGAAGGCGGCGACCUGGACAGGUACUGACGCUGAGGAGCGAAAGCGUGGGGAGCGAACAGG